rnacentral:rRNA from 1 species
AUUGAACGCUGGCGGCAGGCCUAACACAUGCAAGUCGAGCGGAUGAAGGGAGCUUGCUCCUGGAUUCAGCGGCGGACGGGUGAGUAAUGCCUAGGAAUCUGCCUGGUAGUGGGGGAUAACGUCCGGAAACGGGCGCUAAUACCGCAUACGUCCUGAGGGAGAAAGUGGGGGAUCUUCGGACCUCACGCUAUCAGAUGAGCCUAGGUCGGAUUAGCUAGUUGGUGGGGUAAAGGCCUACCAAGGCGACGAUCCGUAACUGGUCUGAGAGGGUGAUCAGUCACACUGGAACUGAGACACGGUCCAGACUCCUACGGGAGGCAGCAGUGGGGAAUAUUGGACAAUGGGCGAAAGCCUGAUCCAGCCAUGCCGCGUGUGUGAAGAAGGUCUUCGGAUUGUAAAGCACUUUAAGUUGGGAGGAAGGGCAGUAAGUUAAUACCUUGCUGUUUUGACGUUACCAACAGAAUAAGCGCCGGCUAACUUCGUGC